UACGAAGGGGGCUAGCGUUGUUCGGAAUUACUGGGCGUAAAGCGCGUGUAGGCAGCUCAGAAAGUCGGAUGUGAAAGCCCUGGGCUUAACCUAGGAAGUGCAUUCGAAACUUCUGAGCUUAGUUCUGGAGAGGAAGGCGGAAUUCUCGGUGAGAGGUGAAAUUCGUAGAUAUCGAGAGGAACACCGUGGCGAAGGCGGCCUUCUGGACAGUGACUGACGCUGAGACGCGAAAGCGUGGGGAGCAAACAGG
rnacentral:rRNA from 1 species